AGCCUUGAGGUGUUAUCAUGUCAGAUUGCAAAUCUGAAGAAGCAGACUAGUCGUCUGCCGGGGCUU
rnacentral:tRNA from 1 species